UACGGGGGGGGCAAGCGUUGUUCGGAAUUACUGGGCGUAAAGGGCUCGUAGGUGGCCAACUAAGUCAUACGUGAAAUCCCUCGGCUUAACCGGGGAACUGCGUCUGAUACUGGAUGGCUUGAGGUUGGGAGAGGGAUGCGGAAUUCCAGGUGUAGCGGUGAAAUGCGUAGAUAUCGUGAGGAAGACCAGUGGCGAAGGCGGGUCUCUGGACAGUUCCUGACGCUGAGGCGCGAAGGCCAGGGGAGCAAACGGG
rnacentral:rRNA from 1 species